AGUGAACGCUGGCGGUAGGCCUAACACAUGCAAGUCGAACGGCAGCACAGUAAGAGCUUGCUCUUACGGGUGGCGAGUGGCGGACGGGUGAGGAAUACAUCGGAAUCUACUUUUUCGUGGGGGAUAACGUAGGGAAACUUACGCUAAUACCGCAUACGACCUACGGGUGAAAGCAGGGGAUCUUCGGACCUUGCGCGAUUGAAUGAGCCGAUGUCGGAGUAGCUAGUUGGCGGGGUAAAGGCCCACCAAGGCGACGAUCCGUAGCUGGUCUGAGAGGAGGGUCAGCCACACUGGAACUUGGACACGGUCCAGAGUCCUACGGGAGGGACCAGUGGGGAAUAUUGGACAAUGGGCGCAAGCAUGAUCCAGCCAUACCGCGUGGGUGAAGGAGGCCUUCGGGUUGUAAAGCCCUUUUGUUGGGAAAGAAAAGCAGCAGGUUAAUACCCCGCUGUUCUGACGGUACCCAAAGAAUAAGCACCGGCUAACUUCGUG
rnacentral:rRNA from 1 species